rnacentral:piRNA from 1 species
UGUGUGUGUACAUCCAUGCAUAGGAAGUU